rnacentral:rRNA from 1 species
AGAGUUUGAUCAUGGCUCAGGAUGAACGCUAGCGGCAGGCCUAACACAUGCAAGUCGAGGGGCAGCACGUUAAAGAGUUUACUCUUUAUGGUGGCGACCGGCGGACGGGUGCGUAACGCGUAUGCAACCUGCCUGACACAGGGGGAUAAUCCGAAGAAAUUUGGUCUAAUACCCCAUAAUACCGAUAUAGGCAUCUAUGUUGGUUGAAAGCUUUGGUGGUGUCAGAUGGGCAGUGCGUUGUAUUAGCUAGUUGGUGAGGUAACGGGCUCACCAAGGCGACGAUACAUAGGGGGACUGAGAGGUUAACCCCCCACCACUGGUACUGAGACACGGACCAGACUCCUACGGGAGGCAGCA